GUCGCAGCUGCCCUCCUCCUGGGAGCUGGCACUGGUGUGGGUGUAGGCUAGGCCCUAGUCAUCUGAGGAGGUGAAACGGCUGAAGAGGAAGGCCGAAUCUGGGCCACCGUGCUGGUAGGAAAUGGCUGAGUGAUGGGUGUGGAAAUAGUGACUGGGUGUGUGAUACUGGCAGGUUUAUCAGGGAUUGUUCUGGUCUUUCUGCCACCACUAUUUAGUCUUUGGGGGAGCAGAGCAGAAAAAAUCUUCCCAGUCCACAGAAUCCUCCAGGAGGGAAACAUCCCAUGAAUCAGAGAUGGGUUUAUCAGUGGUUUUAAAUGAGGAAUCGAAUGAGGGUGGAAAACAGUCACUGGAACUCACCACCGGGAAUUGCUGGAAAUAGUCCAUUUUAUGGCGGCGUGUGCGCCGCUUUCUCCGGGAAGAGGAAGCGGGCGGGGUACACAUCCGAGCCUCUGGUGCGGGAGCCUCUGUUGAGCCGAGGUGGGAGGCGGAGCCGCUGUGCCGUGGCGAGGUUGAAGGUCCGGUGAAUGAGGCAGAUGGCGUGUGAGCGAGGAGCGGACCCGCGAGAGAGGGAGCCGCCGAAGCGUGGCGCGAAACGCCCAGUCUCCGCGGCAGAUGCUCCGGUGCAGGUGGGGCAGCAGGUGGGAGAACGCGGUGUCUCCGAGGCCCGCCAAGAGCCAGGCGAGUGCCCUCGAAGAUGUGCUUCUCCGCCCAAAUGGAGAGCGCUGCCUCCUGCCGCUCAAAAAGGUCCGAGUCCGCUGGGUCAAAAGCAGGUCGUGUCAUUCUGUCAGGAGUGUCGUGUGUGGAGGCGAGGAAGAGAUGACCCAAACGCUGGACUCAAGGUGCAGGAUAAUGGGGUUUAUUGUAGAAUUAUAUUUAGACUUGGAUCGAUGGAACAAAUUUCAGAUAUGCAAACUGGUGUCAUGGAAAACCGACCAAAAAUUAUGGCCACUGCCUGGAGAUGAAUUUUUCAGCAAAAAAAGUCUUGGAAUGGUCGGUUCUGUUCCUGCCUCCGCCCAUCUGUCUGCGUCAAGAAUAUCUGGUGAUUCCUGACCUCAUACGAAGGCAUGGUGCACUUGGCAAAGAAGCAAACUGUCUCAUAUAUCGUCCAAAGAGUCUACUUCUCAUUUUACAUCUUUGCUUCUGUUCAGCGAUGCUGAAAAAAAUGCAAUGCAAAUGCAAAUAAAAUGACAGAAACUGUAGUUUUUCUCUUUCAGGAAUGUGUAAUGGAAAUACUGCUUUUAGCAAAGCUUCAAGUACAAAAAUGAACUGUUCUUUCUGGCUUGUCUGUAUCAUUAAAAUCUUAAGCAC
ensembl:lncRNA